AUGGCCUCCCUGACGGCGAGAUCCGGCCCUCGCUCCCUGGCGACGCGCGCUAGGCCCCCCGCACCGGCCCCGCUCAGGCACCGCAUGUCCUCCUCCGCCCACGACGAUGCAUAUGAGACGUCCAAGUGGGAUAAGAUCACCAUCAUGGAGGCCGUCAUCUGCACCCUCCUGGCGGCCUGGAACCUCUCCAAGGGCCACCCCCACUUCGACGAGCCGCCGGCCUACCCCUACCUGCACAUCCACAACAAGGAGUUCCCCUGGGGUAUGAAUUGUCUACCCCUUCCUUCCUGUGCCCAUUUCAAUGCCUACGUCUGUAAUUUCCUCCUUGAUUUGACUGUUUUAUUGGAUGCGAUAUGCUUUGGGAAAUAUGUGUAUGCUUUGGGUUUUUCCUUCUAG
rnacentral:rRNA from 1 species